rnacentral:rRNA from 1 species
AUGUGGGCGAUUUGGUAUGCUCGAAGACAGCUUAUCCACGAGGGGAUACAUCAGAGCCCAUACGAGACACACAGGUUCGUGCUCAGCUUUAUAGCUGAUUUGGAUCAGCUCGCGCCGGUGAAAGAGUCACAAAAAAGCACAAACCAGCCACAUGCCAGGCAGAGUUUUAGAUGGAUUCCACCGAGAGAGGAAUGUGUGAAGAUCAACGUAGAUGCUGGGGUUUCAGAAGGAACGAAUGUGGGAACAGCAGCAGCGUUAUGUCGCGACAGGGACGGAAAUUACCUGGGUUCUUCCAUGCUAGUAUUUGAAGGGCUAACGGAUCCAACGACGCUGGAAGCAAUCGCAUGCAGGGAAGGCAUGGCGCUGGCUCAGGACCUGGGAGUGAACCAUCUACAGAUAGCUUCGGACUGCAAACAGGUUAUAAAUCACAUUCAUCAAAGAGCUGGAGGAGAUCAUGGCAGUAUUGUCAGAGAAAUUUUACAAACUUCUACUUUAUUUGCCGCUUGUAAUAUUCUUUUUGAACCUCGGGAGUCUAAUUUUGAGGCUCAUAGACUAGCUAGGUUUGGCAUUUCGCUCCCUGCUGGGAGGCAUUUGUGGUUGGGCAUCCAGCAUGACCUGAUUGUAAUCCCUAUGAACAUCUUAGUCGAUCAAUAA